rnacentral:rRNA from 1 species
GUAGGGAAUAUUGGGCAAUGGUCGGAAGACUGACCCAGCCAUGCCGCGUGUAGGAAGACGGCCCUCUGGGUUGUAAACUGCUUUUAUCUGGGAAGAAAAAGGCCAUGCGUGGCAAAUUGCCGGUACCAGAUGAAUAAGCACCGGCUAACUCCGUGCCAGCAGCCGCGGUAAUACGGAGGGUGCGAGCGUUGUCCGGAUUUAUUGGGUUUAAAGGGUGCGUAGGCGGCUGAUUAAGUCAGCGGUGAAAGACUUCGGCUUAACCGGAGCAGUGCCGUUGAUACUGGUUGGCUUGAGUGUCGGAGGGGUACAUGGAAUUGAUGGUGUAGCGGUGAAAUGCAUAGAUACCAUCAGGAACACCGAUAGCGAAGGCAUUGUACUGGCCGACAACUGACGCUGAUGCACGAAAGUGUGGGGAUCGAACAGGAUUAGAAACCCGGGUAGUCC